rnacentral:rRNA from 1 species
UACAGAGGGUGCGAGCGUUGUCCGGAAUCACUGGGCGUAAAGGGCGCGUAGGCGGUCUGGUAAGCGUGCGGUGAAAGCCCGGGGCUCAACCCCGGGUCGGCCGUGCGAACUGCUGGACUGGAGCUUGUCAGAGGCAGGCGGAAUUCCGGGUGUAGCGGUGGAAUGCGUAGAGAUCUCCAAGAACACCCGUUGCGAAGGCGGCUAGCUGGGUUCACAUUGACGCUGAGGCUCGAAAGCGUGGGGAGCAAACAGG